rnacentral:rRNA from 1 species
AGCUUACACAAAAGUGUAAGCACUUGGAGUUCCCCCAUCGUGGUUGCCCACAUUGUGGAGGUU